CCCUAGUAACUGCGAGUGAAGCGGGAAAAGCUCAAAUUUAAAAUCUGGUGGUCUUUGGCCAUCCGAGUUGUAAUCUAGAGAAGUGUUAUCCGCGCUGGACCGUGUACAAGUCUCCUGGAAUGGAGCGUCAUAGAGGGUGAGAAUCCCGUCUUUGACACGGACUGCCAGGGCUUUGUGAUGCGCUCUCAAAGAGUCGAGUUGUUUGGGAAUGCAGCUCAAAAUGGGUGGUAAAUUCCAUCUAAAGCUAAAUAUUGGCGAGAGACCGAUAGCGAACAAGUACCGUGAGGGAAAGAUGAAAAGAACUUUGGAAAGAGAGUUAAACAGUACGUGAAAUUGCUGAAAGGGAAACGCUUGAAGUCAGUCGCGUUGGCCGGGAAUCAACCUUGCUUUUGCUGGGCGUACUUUCCGGUUGACGGGUCAGCAUCAAUUUUGACCGUUGGAUAAAGUUCAAGGGAAUGUGGCAUCUUCGGAUGUGUUAUAGCCUUUGUUCGCAUACAACGGUUGGGAUUGAGGAACUCAGCACGCCGCAAGGCCGGGUAUUUAUACUACGUUCGUGCUUAGGAUGCUGGCAUAAUGGCUUUAAUCGACCCGUCUUGAACACGGGACCAAGGAGUCUAACAUGCCUGCGAGUGUUUGGGUGGAAAACCCGAGCGCGUAAUGAAAGUGAAAGUUGAGAUCCCUGUCGUGGGGAGCAUCGACGCCCGGACCAGACCUUUUGUGACGGAUCCGCGGUAGAGCAUGUAUGUUGGGACCC
rnacentral:rRNA from 1 species